CCUACGGGGGGCAGCAGUCGAGAAUCAUUCACAAUGGGGGAAACCCUGAUGGUGCGACGCCGCGUGGGGGAAUGAAGGUCUUCGGAUUGUAAACCCCUGUCAUGUGGGAGCAAAUUAAAAAGAUAGUACCACAAGAGGAAGAGACGGCUAACUCUGUGCCAGCAGCCGCGGUAAUACAGAGGUCUCAAGCGUUGUUCGGAAUCACGGGGCGUAAGGCGUGCGUAGGCUGUUUCGUAAGUCGUGUGUGAAAGGCGCGGGCUCAACCCGCGGACGGCACAUGAUACUGCGAGACUAGAGUAAUGGAGGGGGAACCGGAAUUCUCGGUGUAGCAGUGAAAUGCGUAGAUAUCGAGAGGAACACUCGUGGCGAAGGCGGGUUCCUGGACAUUAACUGACGCUGAGGCACGAAGGCCAGGGGAGCGAAAGGGAUUAGAUACCCUUGUAGUC
rnacentral:rRNA from 1 species